UACACUCCUACGGGAGGCAGCAGUGGGGAAUAUUGCACAAUGGGCGCAAGCCUGAUGCAGCCAUGCCGCGUGUAUGAAGAAGGCCUUCGGGUUGUAAAGUACUUUCAGCGGGGAGGAAGGCGAUAAGGUUAAUAACCUUGUUGAUUGACGUUACCCGCAGAAGAAGCACCGGCUAACUCCGUGCCAGCAGCCGCGGUAAUACGGAGGGUGCAAGCGUUAAUCGGAAUUACUGGGCGUAAAGCGCACGCAGGCGGUCUGUCAAGUCGGAUGUGAAAUCCCCGGGCUCAACCUGGGAACUGCAUUCGAAACUGGCAGGCUAGAGUCUUGUAGAGGGGGGUAGAAUUCCAGGUGUAGCGGUGAAAUGCGUAGAGAUCUGGAGGAAUACCGGUGGCGAAGGCGGCCCCCUGGACAAAGACUGACGCUCAGGUGCGAAAGCGUGGGGAGCAAACAGGAUUAGAUACCCCAGUAGUCCCAUGA
rnacentral:rRNA from 1 species